GACGAACGCUGGCGGCGUGCUUAACACAUGCAAGUCGAACGGAAAGGCCCUGCUUUUGUUGGGUGCUCGAGUGGCGAACGGGUGAGUAACACGUGAGUAACCUGCCCUUGACUUUGGGAUAACUUCAGGAAACUGGGGCUAAUACCGGAUAUGAGCUCCUGCUGCAUGGUGGUGGUUGGAAAGAUUCGGCGGUUGGGGAUGGACUCGCGGGUUAUCCGCUUGUUGGUGGGGUAGUGGCUUACCAAGGGUUUGACGGGUAGCCGGCCUGGGAGGGUGACCGGCGACAUUGGGCCUAGGGUACGGCCCAGACUGCUACGGGAGGCAGCAGGGGGGAAUAUUGCACAAUGGGCGGAAGCCUGAUGCAGCAACGCCGCGUGCGGGAUGACGGCCUUCGGGUUGUAAACCGCUUUCGCCUGUGACGAAGCGUGAGUGACGGUAAUGGGUAAAGAAGCACCGGCUAACUACGUG
rnacentral:rRNA from 1 species